GACGAACGCUGGCGGCGCGCCUAACACAUGCAAGUCGAACGAGCGAGAGAGAGCUUGCUUUCUCGAGCGAGUGGCGAACGGGUGAGUAACGCGUGAGGAACCUGCCUCAAAGAGGGGGACAACAGUUGGAAACGACUGCUAAUACCGCAUAAGCCCACGGCUCGGCAUCGAGCAGGGGGAAAAGGAGCAAUCCGCUUUGAGAUGGCCUCGCGUCCGAUUAGCUAGUUGGUGAGGUAACGGCCCACCAAGGCGACGAUCGGUAGCCGGACUGAGAGGUUGAACGGCCACAUUGGGACUGAGACACGGCCCAGACUCCUACGGGAGGCAGCAGUGGGGAAUAUUGCACAAUGGGGGAAACCCUGAUGCAGCGACGCCGCGUGGGGGAAGAAGGUCUUCGGAUUGUAAACUCCUGUUGUUGGGGAAGAUAAUGACGGUACCCAACAAGGAAGUGACGGCUAACUACGUG
rnacentral:rRNA from 1 species